UGGCUCUGAGGAGCGGCCGCCGACCUCUGGUCCCCUUUCCCCGCUCGCCCUCCCGCCCUCGCUACCUGAGGGGGGAGCCUGGAGGUCGGCGGCCGCCUGCUCCCCCCCCCCCCCCGAACAACCCCUUUGCACAGACCUCCUGGUUUCUCUUCAUCCCUUGUACCCUGUGGACACACCUGUGCUAUCCCACACCCACAGCCCCAGCUACUGACACAAGACAGCGAGUGAGGUGGGAUUAAGGAGCUGCUCUCAUGUGACCUCGCACUAAGAACUGCUCGAUAGCUCUACAUCUCUCAUCCAGGCCUAACCAAUAACGGGGAGUCUGAUAAGCAGGUUUGGAAAAGAAACAUUGCUGGGGAGGAAUCCAAUGAAUUUAUUAAUGAGCUCAAGUUAAAAGCUGCUAAAGGACAACAGAAUAUUUUGGGUCAACCAGAAAUUCUUGAUUUCAAAGUACAGCUCCAGCUCAUGAAAGAAACCUGAAUAAGCCAUGGAGUCAGCUGACACCACUGAGUCCUUUUCAAGCCAAAUCUAAUAUAUGCAGUCCCAGCAGCUAUUUGUGUAUAAUUUUGUUUAUUUUGCUUUUAAAAGCCCAGUAGAAGGAAAGGGAAUGAUCAGGAUGCAAGUCUUAAGAAACACAGCUCCAAGAAAAGGAAGAACACAGCUGCAGAAGAUGGUCACAUUUUUAAUGUGUGGUGGGCAAUGUUGAGUUAUCAGAGGUUAGGGAAAGACUGCUUUUAUGGCUCCAGUAAAUGUAGUCUGUGACUACAAAGAUCAGCUUUCCCUUUUCAGUUCGCAAACAAUGACUGGAAAUUAUUUGAAAUACAUGUUCUCCCUAAAAGCAUUUGUAGUAAUUUGCCAAAAAAGUCUCUAUUAAGAUUAAAUAAUUUCAGUUGGAGCAGAGAUCUGACUUAUUACAGUAACAUUUUGUAAUAAACCCCCCA